rnacentral:rRNA from 1 species
UCGAGCGGUAUAAGAAGCUUGCUUUUCUUGAGAGCGGCGGACGGGUGAGUAAUGCCUAGGAAUCUGCCUAGUGGUGGGGGAUAACGUUCGGAAACGGACGCUAAUACCGCAUACGUCCUACGGGAGAAAGCGGGGGAUCUUCGGACCUCGCGCCAUUAGAUGAGCCUAGGUCGGAUUAGCUAGUUGGUGAGGUAAUGGCUCACCAAGGCGACGAUCCGUAACUGGUCUGAGAGGAUGAUCAGUCACACUGGAACUGAGACACGGUCCAGACUCCUACGGGAGGCAGCAGUGGGGAAUAUUGGACAAUGGGCGAAAGCCUGAUCCAGCCAUGCCGCGUGUGUGAAGAAGGUCUUCGGAUUGUAAAGCACUUUAAGUUGGGAGGAAGGGCAGUAACCUAAUACGUUAUUGUUUUGACGUUACCGACAGAAUAAGCACCGGCUAACUUCGUGCCAGCAGCCGCGGUAAUACGAAGGGUGCAAGCGUUAAUCGGAAUUACUGGGCGUAAAGCGCGCGUAGGUGGUUCAGUAAGUUGGAAGUGAAAUCCCCGGGCUCAACCUGGGAACUGCUUUCAAAACUGCUGAGCUAGAGUACGGUAGAGGGUGGUGGAAUUUCCUGUGUAGCGGUGAAAUGCGUAGAUAUAGGAAGGAACACCAGUGGCGAAGGCGACCACCUGGACUGAUACUGACACUGAGGUGCGAAAGCGUGGGGAGCAAACAGGAUUAGAUA